UGAGAGGAGAUAUGGCAGUGGAGGAGCAAGACCUUCCCAUAAUGGGGCAGCGCAAGGUGAUUGGGAUGUUUUUCAUGGCUGCCUUGGGAGUGCCAUCGGCCAUAACAGAGCAAAGACUUGGAACAGGAAAAAAUACAGGGAGAAGAGCUAAUAAAUGACCUUUGCAAUAGUGCGACCAAGUCAAGCCCACCAAAAAUGGUAGUUGAGGUAAAUGUUUGCUCAGGAGCUGUGUCCUGCCCGCAAGGCAUAACCGGGCAGUCAGCUAGAUAGGAGCAAACUUGCAACACUGGAUUUUUUUGGAGGGCUUGUGUUAUCCCUGAUAAAAAUCUUGUUGGUAUUUGGGGCAGAAUGGCUCUGCUGGACACUUUGUUUGGCUUUCCCUAUGCCUUUCCAUUACCGCUCUGACAAAAUCACGGUGUUUAGUUAUUCUUGCUUCAGAUAAAAUGCUCUGGCCCAGGUACCUGUCCUUGAACUUGUGGGUGUCCUUCUCUUUUGCAGGGUCAGAUCCUGUGCAACCCCCAAAUGCGUGCGCCACAAACGCAGCAGUGAGCAUUGCCACAGGGCUGUGCAUGUCUAGUUGUCCUUGUAAAAGUCUCCAAAAUAGAUGUCUUGUGCAGAAAGGAGUUUAAACAAAAUGAGCUUCUAGAAGAAAAUCUGCCUAUUUGAUUUUUUUUUUUUGGAGAAACACCCUCCUUCUCCCAAUGAAUUCACACUGAUUUGGGGGAAAUAUGCUCUUUUGCAAGAUGGCAAGAGCCGAAGGACUGUGUGGAGCCUUGUGUUCCAUCAGAGUUCAAAAAGGUUCUCCAGUGCCUUCUCUCCUCCUGUUUUCGGGUUCUUCCCAUCUCAGCUCUUUUCUACCAUUGUUCCUGCUCUGGGACCCCGCUGGGGGGUGACUUUGCUGGGGGCUAUCCUUGGCCCAAGCGAUAGAGCCAUCCCCUGUGGAGAACAAGCCCAAAGGGUUCCCCGCGGCAUUGUCCUGCAUCCAUGGAGAACACAAGGACAAAGAGGCUUUUGGCCAUCCUGCUGGAUCUUCUCUCAGUGCCAACCCUGGGU
rnacentral:lncRNA from 1 species